rnacentral:lncRNA from 1 species
GGAGGAGAUCCGGAUGGCGAAGGACGGGGAUGGCCAGGCUGGGCCCAGCACCCCGAAAAAACUUUUCACAAAACCCGGGUGUUUCUGCGUUACCAUUCGGCCGCCUAUCGAUAUCAUGUUAACUGAUGCAAGUAGCAAUCUGUUUCUUAUAACCACAUAUUGUAAAAUAUUGGUGGACAAUAGAUGGCAUCUUUCUAACAAUAAAAAUCAUAACGCUUUACUAAGCUAUAAUUCUAUAAUAUACAACACACCAUUUUGGGCCGAAUUGACCGCUUUUCAUCCAGAGGAUCCAAAUCCCAUUCCUUGAGAAAUUUAGGACAGAUACGGUCUGGUCCCUUCAUAAAUUUUUUAAAAUGUUUAUUGGCCCAUUUCGAUUUCCGCCAUGAUAUUCGAAACAUAUCCUUGAUCAAUUUUCAGAAGCUAUUGUAUGUAAUUUGAAUUUCGAUGAUAGCCUGAAUAAUCGCCAAUUUAAUACCUGGCUUCAUCUUGUGAUUAAAUCAAAUCCCUUUUUAUCUUUUUUUAAUGUCAUUUUAGUCAUCAGUAAUCGUGCCCGAUUUAUGGAUUAAAAAUUUAACAGCUGG